AUGGCUGUAAAUACAGAUGAAGCAUUGCUCACUGGCCCGCCACUCACUUCCUGCUGUGCAGUCCAGUUCCUAACAGGUCACAGACCAAUACUCAUCCAUGGCCUGGAGAUUGGAUACCCCUACAUUAGAGGAUUCUGUGAAGGACGCUGGGAAGGAAUGAUGGGGAAGCCAGAACCAGUAAGGGAGAUGUCUCAGUGGUCAGAGAGUUUCCAGAGCAUCUUGGAAGACAACCAGUCCCAGAACCUAUAAACAGUGCUUCCCUUCAGAUGCGGCUUUUAUCCUGAUUGGUCAGAGAAAGAUAGACUGUUCCCUUGCUGAUAAAGGGCUUUUUGAAGACUUUUACAUAACUUCUGCAAUGCACUGGAAAAUAACACCCAGGAAAAGGCUGGGUGUUGGGGGUGGAUAAUAAACUCUUACUGCUGUAUGAAAAGCUACAUUUUUCAGAGUAAUAUGGUGAUUACAGAUAAAAAAAACAAAAUAAAUUUUAAUAAUACCACAAUGCAGAGUCAUCAAAGAAUUGGGCAUUGCUCCAGUAACUUCUGGGAGGAUUUGCACCUGUUGCCUCUUUCCCCAAGGAUGGAAGAGGUUGCCGGAACCAACUCUUCCUGCGAGGGUUACCUGAAGCUCGCGUAAGCAUCAGCAUUGGCUAGGUCAUCGUCUCUUCCAGUUCUGCCACCAACCAACUCAUUCCAAGAAAAUGUGGGAAAUAAUGCCUUAUCUUUAAGUAAGUCAGAAGCUGUCACACUUACAAAGAAAAAUGUUUUCUGGUCAGGGUUCCCUGUGGGCAUGUCCUUGCAGAUGCCUUGGUGCAGCUCUGAAUUUCUGGUUACGAUUAACUGGCGAUGAACUGAAGCUAUGCUAGUUUAGAUUAGGGGUUUUGAAAAAGCCUACUUGUAUAAUAACAGCAUACCUAGUCUUAGCUUUUAGGUUCUCUUUCUUCAAAGGGAACAUUCAGAGCCAGAUAGAGGCAGAGGUCUGCCAGGCAGCUUCUUAGAGCAACAAUCUAUAGGAGGAAACUGUAAGUGGGAACUCACAUAGCACUAAAGGAAACUGGCAAUACAGCCUCAGCUAUCCUGCGUAAAAUGUAAUUGUCUCAAUACUCUUGAAAUAUCCAUUUUGGAGUUAGAAGACAAACACCACCCCACCACACACACGCAUGCACGCACGCACACACACAGACACUCUUGAGUAUUUUGGCAAUGUAUACAUGCUAAAUAGUAAUUUGCUGUCCUUAACUGAAAUUCUAAAACCAAAUAACGCAUGGCAUAAUACUUAAGAGAAAUGAGUGAUUUUUUUAUUAUCCAAAAUGUUAAACCCUUUAAUAUACCUCCCAAGGGUUGUCUGGUUCAGAAACUCACAAAAGAAAAUGGAAGUGCAAACUAGAACUGCUGAAAAAAAUGGAAAACAAAUUUAAACAUCAUGAGCCAAUGAAGUAAAUUAAGUGACUCUAACUCUAUGUAAUGUUCAUUACCAGAAAUUAUUUUCCCACUCCUACUAAAUAAAUGUUAAGUAAUUAUUUAAAUGAUAUAAAUUAUGUUACAUUACUAACUUGCUUGGAGUGCUCACAUGAAAGUCUUAAUUACUCAUACUUUCUCACCACCAAAAAAGAAAGAAAGAAAUAAG
ensembl:lncRNA